GUUGUUGUCCUGUCCUGGGCGGUGCCUUGAAGGCCCUCCGCACCUUGCUGAGCUUGGGGACUGAGGACAGGAGAUUUCCUAGCUGACUGCCAUCUUAGGGGUUGAAUGUGUUUUCAGCUUCACUCUGGGUUUCACCACACAUAUGAAAGAAAGAUGAUUCCAGUAGGACUUAAAAAAGAAAAGCCAGCUUGACUUUCUACAAUCCAGUUUUGCUUCGUGGAUGCGUUUUCUUCCUGGAGGGAGCCAUGUGAUUUCUCCCCUUCUCACCAUCCUGCAUUCUUUUCAUUCCGAGCCCUGGUCACUUCAGGACCGAAGCCCUCAUCCUCAGGCUCUGCGCGAUGAAUGGGAGGCGUGCCCCACUCUGGUUCUGCCUUAAGUUUCUUCCAAACAAGAGUGGAGACACACGGGUGUGCAACUCAACAUAACCCAUGGCAAGAUAGGAUCCCGACCACGAGAGAGAAAAAUAAACAAUGUGCUGAUGGAGAAUUAAUCUUAUUAGGGAAGAUUUAUUUGUGGUGACGUUUGAAAUGAGCAUGAAAAGCUAGCAGGAUUUUGACAGAUGGUGAAGAGUGUCACUAGUAUUAUUAUGGUAUUGAUGUCUAAUAAUAGCCAAAUGGAUCUGUGUCUGUUUAGGACAUUUGGAGCUUUUGGCCUCUGCACCGUCCUCUGCGGGCAGGAAUACCCCAGCUCUCCUUCAGAGGAUCACCUUUCUCUCUCUCACUCUCAACCCACGUGGUUUGAAUGGGCUGACCCCGCCCACGGAUCCCUUAGGCAUGUGACCCAGACUAGCCAAUGAGAGAACCAUAUUCUCUCUACCACAGAGAUCAGCUCCGGGGUGGGUGUGUGACCCAAGUUGGGCUGGUUCUGGAGAUUUGUUCUGGAACCAUUGCCCAAGAGGCAUCGUCUUUCUGCUGAGAUUGUCAUACUGGUGGUAAGAACUUAGGAGCUGCAAGGGACCUGUUCUGUUACCACAGAGAAGAACCCAAGAGAUGGAGAGAUUCCUGAGCUCCUGGACGAGUCAUGCCUGAAACUCGGCUGGUGGAGGUUUUAGUCCAUCAAGCCAGUAACUUCACUCUGUAAUAAGCCAUUUUGUGUUUUUCCCUUGCAAACAAAAAAAAGUCCUAACCAAUACAGAAGUUUUAAAUAAUCUGCUUAAACAAACAAACAUAACCUGUGGGGUAGGAGAUUUGUGGAUUCAGAGAGCACAUUUCUAGCAGAAAGAAAUCUUUCUGUUGCUAACAUUUUCCAGGUCCGCUUCCUAGAUUCCCGUAAUGAAGACAUUGGAAACUGUAUCCUUAAACCCCCUGGUCGGAGGCUUCUCACCAAUCUUGCCGACUCCUCUGUGCUGGAUAUUUUUCCAUGAAUCAGAACUGAAAUAUGCAGCCCUCUUGCCACAGAGGAAUGAAAACAGUUCAUUUGCCUUUUGUCUCUCUCUCCAAGCUUUGUUUUUUCUAGGUCACACGUUUGUAAGUGAAGAGUCAUAACGAUAAUGCUGUUUGGAUUUAUGAACAGUUGAAUAGACUAUUGAGAAAAGACUCGUUAAUCAUCAGAAGCAAAUUCACUGCGGAGGAAUUGCAGACAGGGGGACAACUGCCCUGAGCCAACUAAUUUUCUGCUUCUUCAGGGAAAACCCUCGGAUGUUUGAGUUAAGCUCCACAUCUGUGAAUCCGAGGAAGAGAAUGAUUUUUAUUGAGUGCUUACUAUGUCCUUGGUACUAAGAAUGGUAUUGUGCCUAUAUUCUCUCUUAAUUUCAUCCGCUGUGCCAGGUUCCAAACAAGCCUUCCUUUUGCUCUGGAGAGACAGUAUGUCUAUUUUCCAAGGUUGUAUGCCUUUCAAACGUGCUUGAGAAGAUAGUCUGAAACAAAAGACAGCCAGAGCGGCUGCUUGAAAGAUAGACAGAAAUGGGAGACCACCCGGAGUGGUCUCCCAACAAUCCCUCCUUGUGGACUUCUGCCUGUAUGUUACUGGCAGAAUGUUACGUCUACCUGCAAGGGAGGCU